rnacentral:rRNA from 1 species
AAAGAGCUCGUAGGCGGUUUGUCGCGUCGGCUGUGAAAACAUGGGGCUCAACCCUGUGCCUGCAGCCGAUACGGGCAGACUAGAAUUCGGUAGGGGAGACUGGAAUUCCUGGUGUAGCGGUGAAAUGCGCAGAUAUUAGGAGGAACACCGGUGGCGAAGGCGGGUCUCUGGGCCGACAUUGACGCUGAGGAGCGAAAGCGUGGGGAGCAAACAGGAUUAGAUACCCUUGU